rnacentral:rRNA from 1 species
UACGGAGGGUGCAAGCGUUAAUCGGAAUUACUGGGCGUAAAGCGUGCGCAGGCGGUUUGUUAAGUCUGUUGUGAAAUCCCCGAGCUCAACUUGGGAAUUGCAAUGGAUACUGGCAGGCUCGAGUAUGGUAGAGGAAGGUGGAAUUCCCGGUGUAGCAGUGAAAUGCGUAGAGAUCGGGAGGAACACCAGUGGCGAAGGCGGCCUUCUGGACCAAUACUGACGCUCAUGCACGAAAGCGUGGGGAGCGAACGGG